AUUGAACGCUGGCGGCAGGCUUAACACAUGCAAGUCGAGCGGAGAUGAGGUGCUUGCACCUUAUCUUAGCGGCGGACGGGUGAGUAAUGCUUAGGAAUCUGCCUAUUAGUGGGGGACAACAUUCCGAAAGGAAUGCUAAUACCGCAUACGCCCUACGGGGGAAAGCAGGGGAUCUUCGGACCUUGCGCUAACAGAUGAGCCUAAGUCGGAUUAGCUAGUUGGUGGGGUAAAGGCCUACCAAGGCGACGAUCUGUAGCGGGUCUGAGAGGAUGAUCCGCCACACUGGGACUGAGACACGGCCCAGACUCCUACGGGAGGCAGCAGUGGGGAAUAUUGGACAAUGGGCGGAAGCCUGAUCCAGCCAUGCCGCGUGUGUGAAGAAGGCCUUUUGGUUGUAAAGCACUUUAAGCGAGGAGGAGGCUACCUGGAUUAAUACUCUAGGAUAGUGGACGUUACUCGCAGAAUAAGCACCGGCCAACUCUGUGCCAGCCGCCGCGGUAACAC
rnacentral:rRNA from 1 species